rnacentral:rRNA from 1 species
UUCUGACCGUUGCAAAGGUAGCGUAAUCACUUGUCUUUUAAAUAAAGACUUGUAUGAACGGCCUGACGAGGACUUAACUGUCUCCUGUUUCUAAUCAGUGAAACUGAUCUCCUCGUGAAGAAGCGGGGAUAAACCCAUAAGACGAGAAGACCCUAUGGAGCUUUAAACUAAAAUCAACUACUCACCUUAACCUCCCCUCGGAACUAGAAUAUAACCACGUAAGAUUGAUAUAAGUUUUAGGUUGGGGCGACCACGGAGAAAAAAAAAUCCUCCUUGAUGAUUUAUUAACUAAGGGCCACAGCCCCAAGUAUUAAGUCCCUUAACUCCAAUUGACCCACUUUGUGAUCAACGAACCAAGUUACCCUAGGGAUAACAGCGCUAUCCAUUUUAAGAGUUCCUAUCGACAAAUGGGUUUACGACCUCGAUGUUGGAUCAGGGCAUCCAAGUGGUGCAGCCGCUACUAAUGGUUCGUUUGUUCAACGAUUAAAGCCUUACGUGAUCUGAGUUCAGAACCGGAGAGA